UGCGUAGGCGGAAUAUUAGGUCAGUGGUGAAAUCCUGCGGCUCAACCGUAGAACUGCCAUUGAUACUGAUAUUCUUGAAUGUAGUUGAGGUAGGCGGAAUGUGUAAUGUAGCGGUGAAAUGCUUAGAUAUUACACAGAACACCGAUUGCGAAGGCAGCUUACUAAACUAUGAUUGACGCUGAUGCACGAAAGCGUGGGGAGCGAACAGGAUUAGAUACCCUGGUAGUCC
rnacentral:rRNA from 1 species